AUCUAAUUGUGUGUAUUUCUUGCCUUUUAAGAAAGCCAGAGAGUCAUGGAAGACGAUAAACAAGACUGCCAAGAAGAGUUUCGUACAUGGAAAUACGCCAUAGUUCUGCUCCUAAUCCUCGUUUUCUUGUUCCUUGGAAUAUGCCUGAUACUCUGUGUGAAAAUGAAGAUGUCCAGCAAGUCCAUCGUUUAAAGUGCAUCUUCAGACUCGCCUGAGAGCCAUCGACAAGUUGUGGUGCCCCAGCCUGGCAGCAUUCACUCUGUUUCUCUGCUGUGCUACGACUUUUCUCAGAUGUAUAAUAGAGAAAUUUUUGGAAAAAUAUUCUUAGUCAUUGGUUUUCUACUCAUAGCAAUUCUAAUGCCGCUCUUGGCUCUGUUAAGUUCAGCAUUAUUUUGGUGACAGGUGGCAGGCCAUCUUUCAAUGUUCUUGUCAGUUCUGUGUACAGGUUUUGUGACAAUACGUGUUUGUACCUGACUUUGAGUUCUUCACCUUCAGGUUGCAUCCAUGGUUUUGCACUUUCUUUGGACAAUCGAUUCUCUGAUUUUCAUUAUCAGUCCUCUUGUAGUUUUUAAAUAAACAGUAAGAUCAAA